rnacentral:sRNA from 2 species
UAUUCCGCCCUACGGGGAAGGAUGAGAAGCUUCGACCAAGGUUCGACUCGAGCGAAGCGAGAGAACGUUGCCGCAGGCAAUGGCCCGAAGGCAAGGCGCUUUAGCGCCGAGUAAUCCUUCCCCCACCACUG